GGGGGGGCCUACUCACGGGGGUGUUGGUCAGUGAGGACAUGGUCAUUGUGGUCGGCUUAACGGGAUCCAUUCAAUGAGGGUCAGGUCAUGGAAAAUCUGGUCAGUGGGGUUUGAUCAGCAGGGGACUGCUCAGUGGGGAUCGGACCAGUGGGGCCUGGUCAGCAGGCGGCCGGCAGUUCCUGGGGCCUGGUCAGUGGGGUCCAGCAGUUGGGACCUGGUUGAUUGGAGGGUCCAGCCCUACGGGACUUAGCGGGUGUUCUCCCCGUGUGCAGAGACGAGAGAGCGUAAGAAAUAAAGACACAAGACCAAGAGAUAAAGAGAAAACAGCUGGGCCCGAGGGACCACUACCAUCAAGACGCGGAGACCAGUAGUGGCCCUGAAUGGCUGGGCACACUGAUAUUUAUUGCAUACAAGACAAGGGGCGUAGGGUCAGGAGGGUGAAUCUUCUAAGUGAUUGACAAGGUGAAGCAAGUCACGUGAUCACAGCACAGGGGGCCCUUCCCUCUUAGGUAGCCGAAGCAGAGAGAGAGAAGGCAGCAUACGUCAGCGUUUUCUUCUAUGCACUUACAAGAAAGAUCAAAGACUGUAAGACUUUCACUAUUCCUUCUACCGCUAUCUACUACAAAUUUCAAAGAGGAACCAGGAGUACGGGAGGAACAUGAAAGUGACCAUUGGAGCACAGCACCACAAGGAGGGGUUUAGGCCUCCGGAUGACUGCGGCAGGCCUAGAUAAUAUCCAGCCUUCCACAAGAAGCUGGUGGAGCAGUGUUCCCUGACUCCUCCAAGGAAAGGAGACUCCCUUUCGCAGUCUGCUAAGUAACGGGCGCCUUCCCAGACACUGGCGUUACCGCUUGACCAAGGAGCCCUCAAGCUGCCCUUAUGCACGCGUUGACAGAGGGCUCACCUCUUGCCUUCUAGGUCACUUCUAACAAUGUCCCUUCAGCACCUGACCCUCUACCCGCCAGUUAUUCCUAGGUUAUGUUAGUAACGCAACAAAGAGUAAUAUUAAAAGCUAAUGAUUAAUAAUGUUUAUAAUAAUGAUUGAUAAUUGUCCAUGAUCAUCUCUAUAUCUAAUUUGUAUUAUGACUAUUCUUAUUCUAACUAUUUUCUUUAUUAUACUGAAACAGUUUGUGUCUUCAGUCUCUCACCUCGGCACCUGGGUAAUCCUCCGCCCACAGUCAAUAGGGGUCUGCAGCUGGGGCAAGGUCAGCGGGGAUCUGAUCAGUGAGACCUAGUCAGGUCUCACUGACUGACUAGGCCCUGGGGGUUGGGGCCUGGCCAGCAAGAGUCCAGUAGUUGGGGCGUGUUUGGCGAGGGUCUCAUGGUUGGGGUCUGGCCAGCGGGGGUCCCACAGUUGGGGCCUGGUGAGCAGAGAUCUGGCAGUUGCAGCCUCGUCCAUGGGGGUCUGGCAGUUGGGGCCUGGUCAGCGGGGUCUUAUAGUUGGGGCCUGUUUGGAGGGGGUCCAGCAGUUGGGGCCUGGUCAGAGGGGAUACGGCAGCUGGGGGUUAUUUGGCAGGGAUGCAGCAGCUGGGACCUGGUAGGUGGGGUCUGGCGGUUGGGGCCUGGUCAGUGAGGAUCAGAUCAGUGCGGUCUAGGCAGUGAGGUCUGGACGCUGGGCCUUCAUCUGCAUGGGUCUCGCAGUUGGGACCUGGUCAGCAGGGGUCUACCAGUUGGGGCCUGGUUGGCGGAAUCAGGCAGUUGGGACCUGGUUGUCGGGGGUCCAACAGUUGGGGCCUGGUCAAAGGGGAUCCAGCAGUUGGAACCUGGUCAGCAGGGCUCUGGCAGUUGGGGCCUGGUCAUUGGGGUCUGGCAGUUGGGGCCUGGUCAACAGGGGUCCAGGAGCUGAGGCCUGGUUGGUGGGCCGUCUAGCAGUUGAGGCCUGGUCAUCUGGGCCCGGCAUUUGGGGCCUGAUCGGCGGGGAUCAGAGCAGUGAGGCCUAGUCAGUGAGGUGUGGAUGUGGGGGCCUGGUAAGCAGGGGCCCAGCAGUUGGGGUCUGGUCAGCAGGGGUCUCAUAAGAAGAGGCCUGGUUGGCAAGGGUCUGGCAGUUGGGGCUCAGUCAGGAGGGGUCUAGGAGUUGGGGCCCAGUCAGUGGGGUCUGGCAGUUUGGGCUUGAUCAGUGCAGUCCAGCAGUUGUUGGGGCCUGGUCAGUGGGGGUCCAGUAGCUGGGACAUGGUCAGUGGAGUCCAGCGUCCGGGGCCUGGUUGGCAGGGGUCUGACAGUUGGCGCCUGGUUGGUGGGGAUCCCAUAGUUGGGGCCUGUCAGCAGGGAUCCAGCAUUUGGGGCCCAGUCAGUGGGGUUCAGCUUUUGGGGCCUGGUGAGUGGGGUUCAGCAUUUGGGGCCUGGCCAGCAGGGGUCCAGCAGUUGUUAGGGCCUGGUCAGCGGGGGUCUGAUUAGUGAGAUCUAUUUGGUGGGGUCCAUCAGUUGGGACCUAGUCAGUGAGGGCCGUGAGGGCCUUGUCAGUUGCAGCCUUGUUAUUGUGGCCUUUGUCAGUGGUGUCUGAUGAGCCAGGGCCUGGUCUGUGGGGCCCAGUCAGCAGGACCUGGUCAGUCCACAUCUGGUCAGUGGGACCUGGUCAUUGUGGGGGUGGUCAGCUAGGACCUGUUCAGUGGGAGCUUAACCAUUGGAAGCCUGGCCAGUGGGAUCCUGGGUGAUCUCAGGCCACGGGUUAGUCCUCGAAGCCUCCGUGAUUGCCUCCAUCCAUGGGGUGGGGGGUGAGUCACAGCACCCCAGUGGGCUUCUGGGAGGAGGAGGUGAGAGGGUGCAUUGCAUUGAAUCCAGCCCUGCCACACAGACCUGGCACUUUACACACUACGCGAGUCACCCCAAGGGGGAAGCCUGGCUUCUGCCCUCUGCCCUCUGCCCUCUGCCCUUUGCCCUAUGUCCCUGCCCCAUCUGCAUCCCCAGGACCACCCAGCAUGGAAAGAGCAGAGGCUGAGGAGCACCUAUGGGUGCUCUGAUGCUGGCCACAGGCCCGGGGGUGACAGUGACAGGGAUCCAGGUGCACACCUGAGUGGAGCAGCCAGGCCCAGCUGGAGGAGAGACGUGUUCACCCACACACAUGCAUCCUCACAUACACAGACAAAUUGCACGCAUACAUGUUGACCAUUAAGCGGGCAGAGGACGCUGACCCUGGGCCCUGCUGAGCCAGGUAGGGCCCCGUCAUGACAGAGGCUGUGAACCCAUGCUGUCACUGUGCCAAGUGCCGCCAGCCUACCUCCGUGUCAUGGAGCAGUUGGAGACACAGAGGUGCUGUAAGUGGUUGUGCAGAAAGGACCCUUUUCUGGGUGAGAAGCACAUCUCAGCACCGCUGCCUGAUCAGACUCAGGAAAGCGUGACCUGCUCUCUUCCCCCCUGCUGACUUGGGGACAGUCACAACCAGGAUGGACGUGGAGGAAGACGUGGCUACCCUACUUGCACAGGAGCAGGGGGCAUCAUUGCCCAGUGUGAGCAGUGAGACGUAGCUGCCACCCAUCAGUGCCCUGGAAGUGAAGAGAAGACAUCAGGAGAUGAGGGACACAGAAAAAUGGCUCCAGGUGCUUCUCGACUGCCAGCGACAUAGGAGCGGCAAGGAGAGCAAGUAAUGACGCCCUCCUCCCAGACUUGCCCCAAAGCCCCCCAGAGCUUGGUGGUGUCCCAGGACGGUCCUCCCAGGAAACAUUUUGAAUAAGUUGCUGAAGUGCCUGAUGGACGUGGCUCUCGUCACGAAAUGAGUUUGGAUCCGAGAAGCCCUCUUCUUCAUCGGAAAACAGGACAAAGAUGAGCUGCGUGCCCAUAAUUCCACGUUUACGCUGACUCCUCCAGUGCCUCAUCAAUGAAGUAAGCAGGCAGCUACGUUCUGGAUGGCUAGCAUGUACCGAAGGCACAAAACCUCCAGAGUUGGCAGAGUUAAGUCCUGGCGUGCCCGAGGCUAUCCAGGGGAACACGCGGGACAGACAGCACCCUCAGCCUGUCCCCAUGACCCUCUGCUCCAGUCUGAGGGGCAGGACACCAUGAGACCUCUCAGACACAGAGUCCACCCUCGACAUGACCCGGAUGAAAGGCAGGAGUGUGUGCCCUGCUUUUGCCCUCGAAGCUCGCUGAAGGGGACCCAUCUCUGCAAGCCCACAGCCCUACCUGCAGCAUCCACAGCCUCAGAGAGCAGCGGGGCCCCUUACCCCUGAACCCCCUCCAAGAGCAUCAGGACAACAAGCCUUGAGCUGUGGAGACAAGAGAAUCAGUAUCCCUGGCCCAGGGAGGAUUCCAGGAGAGGACACGGGCAGGAGCCCUGGCCCAGAGCCAGAACCAAGAGUCCAGCCAGCGAAACUGGAACUAGGGUCCCCGGCACCCAGGACUCUGCGAGCAUCCCCCAACAGCAAGCCCUUCUGCAAGGGAGACGGGUUGGCCCACCCCAGGCUGUCCAGCUCCAGCAGCCUUGCAGGCAGCCUCUCCAGAAAAAGAGCCUGGUCCUCCCCACCCUGCUCCCCACAGGCUGUCCCUGACCCUGAGGCCCAGAGGCACAAGAGGACUUCUGUAGAGCCCAGGGGAGCAGGCUGUUCUCUUGGGGCCCCAGCGGGCUCAAGGUGUGGCCAGGCUGUCCCCAACUCAGGAUAGAUCAUAGGCUGUCCUGCGUACCUCCUCUGGAACUCCCUGCCCAAGCUCUGCCAUGGACCUGGACGUCAGGGGCCUGUGGUUUAACUUUGAAUAGGGAUUCUGGACCUUACACGUGUGCCCUGGACAGCCCCAGAACCAUGGGGUGGGGACCGACCCAGCAAGCCCACCGGGGCCCUGAAACCCGGCCCUGCCGGACACUGUGAUAAUAACCAAGAGGCAAGUCCAGAGACAUCCACUUUGCCCAAUGGCACCUGCAUCCAACUUCUCAGCAGGCAGUGACUGGCAUGGUGUGGGGGCAGCCGGGGCAGCACCUGGCCAGCACCUGGCCAGCUGCCCUGUAGCCCCCGAUGGCUCCAGUGCCUCUGGACCUCAUUUUCUACUUUCUACGGGGAAACCUACUCCCUCAGAGGCCACCAGAGGGAAGAGUGAGCAAGGCGUUCCUGCAGUCCCGACCAGCCAGCGGCAUGUCCUGUGGCCUCUGACUCAACCUAUGAGACAGAGCUCUGAUCCCAGGGCACACUUCCCAGGACACGGGGCCCAGCCUCAACCAGAGCCCUGUGAAGGGAGGGGCACCAGGAUGACCACAUGGGGGACCAUGGCGCUGCACACCUGGGCACUGUACUUCUCAUUGGAGAAUCCAGGCAAGAUCUUGAAGCAGGUGCAUGAGGUCCUGAGCCUGUGCAGCAAACAGCACUCAUCUGGGGUUGGCACGAAGGGGUCUACAGAGCCACGGCCACCGCAGCCUCUUCCCGGCCCCAUCUGUGCAGUGCAAGUGAUCCACGCCUGCUCCUAAACCCAGCCCAGCAAGCAGCAGCAGCCCGGGCCCCCAAGCCCGCCAGGCCAAUGUGCUGCCCAGAGGCUUCGAGGCCCUGCCCGCUGUACCUCCCACCACCUGGAAGCUGCCUCCUGACGCCUUCCAGCCACUGCUGCAGCCGCAACAGGUGUCGCGGCCAGUGCAGGCUUUCCAGACGGUGGCAGCGCCCAGCAGCCGUUGCCUCAGCUCUUUGGUGGCAGCCAGGCCAACAAGGGCAGCAACGAUGACUAGGAUGAUGAGUGAGCAAACAGCUCCACACUGGUGGACAGGCUGGGUGCGCACCCGGUGGUCCUCAAAGGCUCGCUGGGCCUGUACCACCGUUAUAAAUUUGAGAUCAUGAGAUUAUACCGUUUGCCUUCUUGCUUUUUGAAGUACGAGUAUUUUUAUGCACACUUUGUAGACUUCAAAAUCCAUGAAGAGUCUCAAAGAAGCCGGAUGGAUGGAGCCUGCUGCGGAUGCCUUUUACUCUCGUAGAUCAGGGUGAUUUACAUUCCACCUGUAGUCUGCUUGCAAACACACAGAGCAGCCUUGCAGCUUUGUGCCUUUAGACUCUUGGUUUUGCAUUUCUCCCUGCUCCCUUCUUCCUUCCAGUAAGCUGCAACUUUUCUGAUUGAAAGGGUGCAAGGCUAACACACGGAAUGACUAACUCAGGAUCACAUACUGGCAGUGGGAGAGGCAGGAGGAGCAGCUGCCAUCAAUUGCCAGGGCCAAGUGGAUGAUAGGAUGGAUGCUGGUGCAUGCGGAGGAGGCAGACGCAACGCUCAUCUCUAAUAAUGAUGUCUGUUCCCUCAGAGGCGGCUAGAGCAUCACCUCUUCACGCAAGUGUCUUGAAACUCAGCUUGAAGAUUUCAGCAAAUGUGUCUUACAGAGAAGAGAAGAGGGAGUCAGCCCAUCGGGAUUAAAAAUAUAGAGGCAGUGACAACACACACUCGGCUUCAGUUCUUAGGAGAGUUUUGGUUUUGAUUUUUUUUUUUUUUUUGGAGAAGAUUUUUUUUUUAAUGGAUCUACACUGUUAACUGAGACUCUGUUGAGAUUCACUGGUUUACUUAAAAACUUCUCAGGGAUGUCUGUAAAUUUCAGUGUUAUAUGUCAUGAAAACUGGUGUGGGCAGAUCUGUUGGUUGAAAUAAUUUCUACUGUUUCAAAUACUGAAGGCAGGAAUAAUUGGUUUAUACUGUGUUUUAAAUAGAAGUAUUACUGGUAAGUCCCCCAGGACAUUAAACCUUAAAAAUCAGUUUUAAGCUAUUAUUAUUGUAAGAGAAAUACAAAUGGCUGGAAAAUGCCACAGAGAUUCAAAAGCUGCUUAAUUGAAAGAGCAGGAAGGGAUUCUGGCUUGCAAUGCCAAAGUUUCAAUGUUUUUGUAGUUACUGAGCUAAAUCAUAUGGUAAUUGACAGUUUCUAAAUCUGUCACCUAAAGGUUAAAUUAUCUACUGUUGCCGUGAAGUCAAACUUACUGCUGCCUCAGAAAUCCCUGGGUACCGCGAUGGUCAUACAGAAGUAAGGAAGUCAAUUUGAAAUGUCAGUGAGUCAAAAUGAUUAAAGAGGCCAGGUGCAGUGGCUCACGCUUGUAAUCCCAGCACUUUGGGAGGCUGAGGCAGUGGAUUGCUUGAGUCCAGGAGUUUGAGAUCAACCUGUGCGACAUGGCAAAACCCUGUCUCUACAAAAAAUACAAAACAAAUUUAUCCAGACCUAGUGGUGCGCGCCUGUAUAGUUCCAGCUAGGGGGCUGAGGUCGGGGGAUGGCCUGAGCCUGGGAAGUCAGGGCUGCAGUGAGCCGAGAUGGCACCACUGCACUCUGGCCUGGGUGACACAGCCAGACCCUGCCUUAAAAAAAAAAAAAAAAAAAAAAAAGAUUUAAAAAACGGUCUGUUUAUUUAAAAAGAAAAGUGAAAUAAUGCCCAACAGUACAUUUACUCUCUUUUCAGGCUGGGUGCGCUGGCUCACGCCUGUAAUCCCAGCACUUUGGGAGGCCAAGGCAGGCAGAUCACCUGAGGUCAGGAGUUCGAGACCAGCCUGGUCAACAUGGCAAAACCCCGUCUCUACUAAAAAUAUAAAAAUUAGCCAGGCAUGGUGGUGCAAGCCUAUAAUCACAGCUACUUGGGAGGCUGAACCAAGAGAAUCACUUGAACCCAGGAGGUGGAGGUUGCAGUGAGUUGAGAUCACGCCACUGCACUCCACCUGGGCAACAGAGUAAGACUCUGUCUCAAAAAAAUAAUAAUAAUAAUUUCAUAUGGGUUAAAUUUUAAGGUCAGAUGAUCACAAUUUUGAUAUUUUGUCUAAUUUUAUACCUUAGGUGACUUAGAGCCUGAUUUAACGUGACUUUGUCUUGACUACGGAUACGUGGAACUGCAGCCAAAUAUAUUGUUCUGUUUUUAAAAAACAACAAAAAAAAAACCUGCUUCAGUUACUAGGACUGAAGAAAACUGGGCAAAGGGGGGCCCAGGAGGCUAGGUCCCUACAUCUGCCAUUCUUGGCAGCUGCAUUUCACGGUUAGAAAAACUCAGGAAAUAGCCGGGCGUGGUGGCUCACGCCUGUAAUCCCAGCACUUUGAGAGGCCGAGGCAGGUGGAUCACCUGAGGUCAGGAGUUCGAGACCAGCCUGGCCAACAUGGG
rnacentral:lncRNA from 1 species